rnacentral:tRNA from 1 species
AGUGGCUAAAGUGUUUGGCUGCUAACCAAAAGGUUGGUGGUUCGAACCCACCAGCCACUA